UGUGUUAGUGUGUGGUAGUGUGUGUUAGUGUGUGUUAGAGUGUGUUGGUGUUUGUUAGUGUGUGGUAGAGUGUGGUAGUGUUUGUUAGUGUGUAGUAGUGUUUGUUAGUGUGUUAGUGUGUGGUAGUGUGUGUUAGUGUGUGGUACAGUGUGUUAGUGUGUGGUAGAGUGUGGUAGUGUGUGGUAGUGUUUGUUAGUGUGUGUUAGUGUUUGUUAGUGUGAUAGUGUGUGGUAGUGUGUGUUAGUGUGUGGUAGAGUGUGGUAGUGUGUGGUAGUGUUUGUUAGUGUGUGGUAGUGUUUGUUAGUGUGUGGUAGUGUGUGGUAGUGUGUGGUAGAGUGUGUUAGUGUGUGGUAGAGUGUGUUAGAGUGUGGUAGUGUGUGGUAGAGUGUGUUAGUGUGUGUUAGUGUUUGUUAGUGUGUGGUAGUGUGUGGUAGAGUGUGUUAGUGUGUGGUAGUGUGUGGUAGUGUGUUAGUGUUUGGUAGUGUGUGGUAGUGUUUGUUAGUGUGUGUUAGUGUGUGGUAGAGUGUGUUAGUGUGUGUUAGUGUUUGUUAGUGUGUGGUUGUGUUUGUUAGAGUGUGGUAGUGUGUGGUAGAGUGUGUUAGUGUUUGUUAGUGUGUGGUAGAGUGUGUUAGUGUUUGUUAGAGUGUGGUAGAGUGUGUUAGUGUUUGUUAGAGUGUGGUAGAGUGUGUUAGUGUGUGUUAGUGUGUGGUAGUGUUUGUUAGUGUUUGUUAGUGUGUGGUAGAGUGUGUUAGUGUGUGGUAGAGUGUGUUAGUGUUUGUUAGUGUGUGGUAGUGUUUGUUAGAGUGUGUUAGUGUGUGGUAGAGUGUGUUAGUGUGUGUUAGUGUGUGGUAGUGUGUGUUAGUGUUUGUUAGUGUGUGGUAGUGUGUGGUAGAGUGUGGUAGAGUGUGUUAGUGUUUGUUAGUGUGUGGUAGUGUUUGUUAGAGUGUGUUAGUGUGUGGUAGAGUGUGUUAGUGUGUGUUAGUGUGUGGUAGUGUGUGUUAGUGUUUGUUAGUGUGUGGUAGUGUGUGGUAGAGUGUGUUAGUGUGUGGUAGUGUUUGUUAGUGUGUGGUAGUGUGUGGUAGAGUGUGUUAGUGUGUGAUAGUGUUUGUUAGGGUGCUAGUGUGUAUUACUGUCAAUUAGACAGUGGUACUGUGUGUUAGUGUGUGUUAGUGUGAAUUAGAGACUGAUAAUAUGUUAGUGUGUUUGUGUUAAUUAGAGGGUGUUAGAAUGUGUUAGUGUUUGUUAUUGUGUUGGUGUGUUUAGGCUUGUGUUAACACUGUGUUGUGUCUCAUGUGAAUGUUAAAGUCCGUACCGAAUUUGCUAGUCUUACAGUUUUACAGCAUUGCAGGCCUUGACACAUAUGCCUGAUGUCAGCGUUAGCACAGUAAGACUCCAGUGUCAGACUGUACUGUCACUGGCGUCUUUUGUGGAUCUGCCUAGGUCAUACCUGGCCUUUUUGUACUCAUUUGUGUUGCCUGAGAUGAAUGCAGUGGAGUGGACAUGCAGCAAGGACCGAACCUCAGAGUCAGAAACGGAGCAGGGAGAUCAGAUGCAGUUUUCCCUCUCCAUCACCCAUCACAUCUGCCCCCUGCCUCCUUCCCCCCACCUCCAAUUUUUUUACCCCAGAUGUCCGGGGUACCAGUGUGCCAUGUGGCGUCUCGUUUCUCC